GCGAGGAAUCUUGGGCAAUGGGCGAAAGCCUGACCCAGCAACGCCGCGUGGGGGAUGAAGGCCCUCGGGUCGUAAACCCCUUUUGUCGGGGAAGAUAGUGACGGUACCCGACGAAUAAGUCUCGGCUAACUACGUGCCAGCAGCCGCGGUAAUACGUAGGAGGCGAGCGUUGUCCGGAUUUAUUGGGCGUAAAGAGCGCGUAGGCGGCUGGCUAAGUCUGGUGUGAAAUCUCCCGGCCCAACUGGGAGGGGACACCGGAUACUGGUCGGCUUGAGUACGGCAGAGGGAGGUAGAAUUCCCGGUGUAGUGGUGAAAUGCGUAGAUAUCGGGAGGAAUACCAGUGGCGAAGGCGGCCUCCUGGGCCGUUACUGACGCUGAGGCGCGAAAGCGUGGGGAGCGAACCGGAUUAGAAACCCGUGUAGUCC
rnacentral:rRNA from 1 species